rnacentral:rRNA from 1 species
UUGAUGAAUUCAUAGUCAAACGAGGCGAACCGGGGGAACUGAAACAUCUAAGUACCCCGAGGAAAAGAAAUCAACCGAGAUUCCCCCAGUAGCGGCGAGCGAACGGGGAAAAGCCCAGAGUCUGAAUCAGGUGGUGUGUUAGUGGAAGCGUCUGGAAAGUCGCACGGUACAGGGUGAUAGUCCCGUACACCAAAACACACUUCCUGCGAACUCUAUGAGUAGGGCGGGACACGUGACAUCCUGUCUGAAUAUGGGGGGACCAUCCUCCAAGGCUAAAUACUCCUGACUGACCGAUAGUGAACCAGUACCGUGAGGGAAAGGCGAAAAGAACCCCGGCGAGGGGAGUGAAAUAGAACCUGAAACCGUGUACGUACAAACAGUGGGAGCACCUUCGUGGUGUGACUGCGUACCUUUUGUAUAAUGGGUCAGCGACUUAUAUUUUGUAGCAAGGUUAACCGAAUAGGGGAGCCGCAGGGAAACCGAGUCUUAACUGGGCGUCUAGUUGCAAGGUAUAGACCCGAAACCCGGUGAUCUAGCCAUGGGCAGGUUGAAAGUUGGGUAACACUAACUGGAGGACC